CAGAACCAGGCCUGCUGGGAGAUAUGAAGAGCAGCCUGCAUUCAAUGAGGGAAACUCCAGGUACACAGCAGCUCUGAGAGUAUCCGACCACUGCAGUGCCACCUUGCUGGAUGAGUGCCAAAUGUCCAUCCAUGGGGCAAUGAUGGAUGUUGUCAAUGGGGAGAGAAUGCCAGUCUUCUACUGGACCUACUAAACCGUGCAAGGAAGUCAGAAUAUCCAAAUCAUCACAUUAAAUGGGUCACAGAGCUGUACACUUUACAAUCCAGUUUUGCAGACGGUUCAAAUUCUGAUUUUACAUUCCACAAGAACAGGAGACCAUACAACUUAAAUCCAUCUCUGUGAUCACAACCAUAAAUGUGAGCAGCAAAUGUUAUAACACCUAAUCCAUUCUAAUGACCAUUUUUAAAGUAUAAUGGGAUUUUUUCUU